UGGGGAAUUUUGGACAAUGGGGGAAACCCUGAUCCAGCCAUCCCGCGUGUGCGAUGAAGGCCUUCGGGUUGUAAAGCACUUUUGGCAGGAAAGAAACGUCGCGGGUUAAUACCCCGCGGAACUGACGGUACCUGCAGAAUAAGCACCGGCUAACUACGUGCCAGCAGCCGCGGUAAUACGUAGGGUGCAAGCGUUAAUCGGAAUUACUGGGCGUAAAGCGUGCGCAGGCGGUUCGGAAAGAAAGAUGUGAAAUCCCAGAGCUUAACUUUGGGAACUGCAUUUUUAACUACCGGGCUAGAGUGUGUCAGAGGGAGGUGGAAUUCCGCGUGUAGCAGUGAAAUGCGUAGNUAUGCGGAGGAACACCGAUGGCGAAGGCAGCCUCCUGGGAUAACACUGACGCUCAUGCACGAAAGCGUGGGGAGCAAACAGGAUUAGAUACCCUGGUAGUCCACGCCCUAAACGAUGUCAACUAGCUGUUGGGUCUUCGGACCUUGGUAGCGCAGCUAACGCGUG
rnacentral:rRNA from 1 species